GCCAGCAUGGUGUAGUGGUUUGAACAUUGGGCUAUGAUUCUAGAGACCAGGGUUCAAAUUUCUGCUUGGCC